GACGAACGCUGGCGGCGUGCUUAACACAUGCAAGUCGAACGAUGAAGCCAGCUUGCUGGUGGAUUAGUGGCGAACGGGUGAGUAACACGUCGGUGAUCUGCCCCAAACUUUGGGAUAAGCCUGGGAAACUGGGUCUAAUACCGAAUAUGACCGAUACUCGCAUGGGUGUUGGUGGAAAGCUCCGGCGGUUUGGGAUGGGCCCGCGGCCUAUCAGCUUGUUGGUGGGGUAAUGGCCUACCAAGGCGACGACGGGUAGCCGGCCUGAGAGGGCGACCGGCCACACUGGGACUGAGACACGGCCCAGACUCCUACGGGAGGCAGCAGUGGGGAAUAUUGCACAAUGGGCGCAAGCCUGAUGCAGCGACGCCGCGUGAGGGAUGACGGCCUUCGGGUUGUAAACCUCUUUCACCAGGGACGAAGCGAAAGUGACGGUACCUGGAGAAGAAGCACCGGCCAACUACGUG
rnacentral:rRNA from 1 species